AUUGAACGCUGGCGGCAUGCCUUACACAUGCAAGUCGAACGGCAGCACGGGGCAACCUGGUGGCGAGUGGCGAACGGGUGAGUAAUGCAUCGGAACGUGCCAUUGAGUGGGGGAUAACGUAGCGAAAGUUGCGCUAAUGCCGCAUAUUCUGUGAGCAGGAAAGCAGGGGACCGCAAGGCCUUGCGCUCUUUGAGCGGCCGAUGUCAGAUUAGCUAGUUGGUGAGGUAACGGCUUACCAAGGCGACGAUCUGUAGCGGGUCUGAGAGGAUGAUCCGCCACACUGGAACUGAGACACGGUCCAGACUCCUACGGGAGGCAGCAGUGGGGAAUUUUGGACAAUGGGCGCAAGCCUGAUCCAGCCAUGCCGCGUGAGUGAAGAAGGCCUUCGGGUUGGUUAAAGACGUCUUUCGGUCCGGGGAACGGAAA
rnacentral:rRNA from 1 species